CCAUAAAAAUAUGAAAAAGAAGUGUUUAUUUGAAAUUAUAUUAUUCUAUUUGCUGCUCUGUUACCUGAAUACUGUUAUUUAAUCAAAACAAUGGGACCAGUUAAAAGUGGCAAUUGGUAGUUAACAGCAGGACUUAACAAAUAUACAUGUGACAAAAUAUAACAAUAAUUUUAUAAUGUUUCUGUCCUCUGAUAGAGAAACGUAAACUUCUUAUUGGGUAUUUAAGUUGUGCAGACGAUGUUAUUGCGUAUGCAUAAGAUACAUACGUGUAAUAUUUUUAAAAAAGAUGAUUACAAUAGGACAAAUUAAGCAGAUGAUCUAUGUUUAAUAAAACUAACAACAUGUUUUUUUUUUUUUUUCCUGUCCCAUAAUUCUGUAGGUUAUUUUUACUCUUUGUUUCCUGUUCCAAUAAUACUUCACUGAACUGCCUGCAGCCUUUAGGACAUUCUUCUCUUCUUCGAUGUAGUGGUGAAGACCGGUUAAAGAAAAAUCACUUUGACGUGCAGCUCUGUUCUUCUCAAGCCCACAUCACACUGUCCUUUGUGUCAGCUCAGUGUGAAGACAUCCAACUAAAUAUCCGCUCGAUAAAACCGAGCCUGGAAUCCUUGGGAUUUUACUGAAUACCAAUCACAGGUUCCUGGACAGGUGGGAAUUCCUUUCCAGCUCUCCAAAAGCGUCCACCUACUUUACAGCUAGCUUGUUUGCGUUGACCUGCUGGUUCUCAUCAGGUUUUUCACAUCUAUCAUAUCAUAUCAUAUCAUAUCAUAUCAUAUCAUAUCAUCUCAUCUCAUCUCAUCUCAUCUCCACGUCAAAAAUUUCUACACAGCCAAAAAAAUCUCAUUGUUUCUGCAAAUUCUGAGAAACUGAAAAGUGGGCAAAACCCUGAUGGAUGAAGGCUUCACUAUCAUAGUGAAUAAACCACGCCCCUGUGAACAGGAGACAUGGUGUACGGGCUGCGAGGGACAUUUAGCAGGAUAUCAUCUGGUUGCUUCCUGGGUAAAACUUUCACGAUAACCAGAAUCUAAUGUGCAGCAAUUUUCACAACCGUGUCCACGUCCGGUCCCACCUUUACUCUUGAUAACCUCCUAUGAAUUCCUCCCCCCAUCCGUCUGCACUCGACUGGGCUGAUGUGGAACCUGACCGCUCUGUCUUCAUUCACAACCAACCUGUGAGUCCUCCUUCCCUCCACUCAAAGUCACUACGCUUUGUAGUGUUAGGUCAUGUUGCUGAUGGCAUUUUUCACAUCUGGGUACCAGGAAUAAGUAACCGAUAAACAGAACAUGAAUACUC